AAUCUUUCAAAUCCAAUAAAACAUAUGCCUUUCCAAAACAAAACAAAAUUAUCAAAUGUAAUUAUUGCAGUAUUUGAUGAUAAUAAAUCCAAGUAAAGAUUUGAGAAAGUUCUUGUAUGCAUCACGUGCUUACUAUGUAUUGCAUCACGUGCCUACCACAUCACUCUCUCUAUUCCGAUUUGGUAACCCACAUCAGCAAACGAGAAAACAAAAUGAAAGCAUUUUUCAGGUAAAUAUUAUUUGUUUACAGUUUUACAACACCAAGUUUUCAUUCAAUCCUCCUCUAAUUUACCUCUAUUGAAUUUCUCUCUCUUCUCUCUCUCUAUUUCUCUCCGAUCCAUCAACGAAACUGACGAAUUGUAAACCCCUUCGGUUAAAACAUUCUGUAGUCGAAAUUGAGGUACCGCCAAUUCAUUCUCGCACUUGAUUUAGCUCGUGAUUUUGAUUGGAGCGGAUUGAAUUGGGGGUGAAAAGUUCUGUGAAAGUUCGAUUUUGUUGAGGAUCCGGGUAUUUUUUCUAUCAUUUCUUACAAGGUGAGUGAACUGAUGACAACUCCGGGAGGACCUAGACCUAGGCCGGGUAGUUAUCCUCCGAAUUAUAACCCAAAUGCAGUUGCUAAUAACAUGCAAAAUCUAAACAUCAAUCAACCCAAUCAGCAGCAAUCGAGCAAUUUCGGUGGUGGUAGUGCCCCUAGGCCCCCUAACACUACACCGUUCGGGCAACAGCCGCCGCCUUUCACCGGCAGUCGACCUGGCCCUCCCCCGCCCGGCGCCUUUCCGAGGGGGCCUGCACCCCCUAACUUCCCUCCCCAAGCUACAUUUCCCCCAAAUACAGUGUCUUCUAGACCCACCGGUCCACCACCAGGAUCACAGCCUCCUACGUUUGCAUCAAGGGGACCUCCACCCCCUGGUGCAUUGCCAUCAUCCAUUGGUGGGCCUGUUUCUCCCUCGCCCUCUGGUCCGGGCCCACGAACGGGGCCUUUCUCGUAUGCCCCUCCGACGUCCGCUCCGCCCCACAUGAGCGGUUCUGGCCCAGUUAGUAACGGGCCACCUGCAUAUGCCCAAAGUGGACCACGGUUCGCUCCUCCAAUGGGUACUAGUAUGCAGAGGCCAUCAAUGGGGCCCCCGCCAUCGCUUUCAUCCGGGAUGUCUUCUCAGCCACCCCAGAUGCGGGCUAGCUUUGGAAGUCCUCCACCUGGAGCACCAUUUUCUGCGGGGCCACCACAGAACAUGCCGCCACCGCCACCUAUGGGUUCAUCCCCAUUUCCAGCUCCAGUUCCAGGCAUGCUUCAAUCUUCUGGUAAUCCUUAUGGAACGCAGACAUGGCCACCGCAGCAGCCACAACAGCAGCAGCCUAUGUUUGGAAUGCCGCCAGGUGGACCACCGUUUCCAAACCAAUCCAUGGCUUUGGGUCAAACAGGUCAAUCCAAAAUCGACCCUAACCAGAUUCCGCGCCUUACUUCAAGUUCUGCUGUAAUUUUGCACGAAACCCGUCAGGGAAAUCAGGCAAACCCUCCUCCGCCUGCAACAAGUGAUUAUAUAGUCAAAGACACUGGAAAUUGCAGUCCACGCUACAUUAGAUGUACAAUAAAUCAGAUUCCAUGUACCCAGGAACUUGUAUCUACAUCUGCAAUGCAGUUGGCUUUGUUGGUGCAGCCUUUAGCUCUUCCACACCCAUCUGAGGAGCCCAUUCAUGUUGUUGAUUUUGGAGAAAGUGGUCCUGUUCGAUGUUCUCGUUGCAAAGGUUACGUUAAUCCUUUUGUGAAGUUUAUUGAUCAAGGAAGACGUUUCAUUUGUAACUUGUGUGGAUUUACGGAUGAAACUCCACGUGACUAUCACUGCAACUUAGGUCCAGAUGGUCGGCGUAGAGAUGCUGAUGAAAGGCCUGAGUUAUGCAGAGGAACAGUUGAAUUUGUUGCUUCUAAGGAAUACAUGGUGCGAGAUCCAAUGCCUGCUGUAUUUUUCUUCCUUAUUGACGUAUCCAUGAAUGCCAUACAAACUGGUGCAACUGCGGCAGCUUGCAGUGCAAUCAACCAAGUCAUAGCUGAUCUUCCUAAGGCUCCUCAAACAAUGGUGGGCAUUGCUACAUUUGAUUCCACCAUCCACUUUUAUAACCUAAAACGAGAGUUACAGCAGCCAUUGAUGCUUAUAGUUCCUGAUGUACAAGAUGUCUACACUCCUCUCCAAAGUGAUGUUAUUGUUCAACUUGCUGAGUGCCGCCAGCAUUUAGAGAUCUUGCUGGAAAGUAUUCCUACAAUGUUUCAGAGUAAUAGAACUGCUGAUUCGUCAUUUGGUGCUGCAGUAAAGGCUGCUUUCCUGGCAAUGAAAAGCACUGGUGGCAAACUUCUUGUUUUUCAAUCAGUCUUGCCAUCAAUUGGCAUUGGAUCCCUUUCUGCGAGAGAAGCGGAGGGUAGAAGCAACAUGUCAGCAGCAGAAAAGGAGGCUAACAAAUUACUCCAACCAGUUGACAAGACUCUAAAAACUAUGGCCAUUGAAUUUGCAGAGUAUCAGGUGUCUGUUGACUUGUUUAUUACAACACAAUCAUAUGUAGAUAUUGCUUCGCUCUCUGUCAUCCCGAAAACUACUGGAGGCCAGGUAAUGUGAAUAAAUUCAAGUUCUUGAUCGUAUAGCAUUAUGUGUGACCAUUGGUAGCAGGAUGCGACCCUUGAGCCAGAAUGUUUAUUGCUGCUGCAUAUUUAUCCUCGUGUUGCUGGGACAUUCUUGUGUACUCUUAAAUUAACAUUAUUUUUUUCUCAGAUCGAUUGUGACAAAACGAUAAUGGUAACCCUAAAACACGACGACAAACUGCAUGAAGGUUCAGAAUGUGCUUUUCAGUGUGCCCUUCUUUACACCACCGUGUAUGGGCAAAGACGAAUCCGAGUUUCAACCUUGUCUCUGUCUUGCACCAACAUGCUCAGUAAUUUGUUCAGAUCGGCUGACCUAGACACCCAAUUUGCUUGCCUCUUGAAGCAAGCUGCUAAUGAAAUACCUUCAGCUCCUCUUGCACAAGUGAGAGAUCAAGCUACAAAUGUUUGCAUCAACAUUUUAUAUUCGUAUCGCAAGUAUUGUGCCACGGUAACAUCAUCUUCUGGACAACUCAUUCUGCCCGAGGCACUUAAACUGUUACCUUUAUAUACACUCGCUCUGCUCAAAAGCACUGGAUUACGCUCUGAUGGAAGAAUUGAUGAUAGGUCCUUUUGGAUUAGUAAUGUUUCCCCUUUGCCCACUCCUUCGGUAAUCCCGUUGGUGUUUCCUAGGAUGAUAGCCAUUCAUGACCUUGAUGACAAGGACGAGUCGGAUGAUUCGAUAAUUCCAAGUCACAUCCCACUUUCCAGCGAGCACAUUACUGAUGAAGGAAUAUACCUUCUCGAGAAUGGAGAAGAUUGUUUAAUUUAUGUUGGUAAUUCUGCUCAACCGAAUAUUUUGCAACAACUGUUUGGCGUAUCGUCACUUGAAGAAAUUUCUAAUCAGUUUGUUCUGCAAGAAUUCGAAAAUCCACUGUCAAAGAAGCUGAACGCUGUUGUAAACGAAAUAAGGCGUCAGCGAUGUUCUUAUCUACGCUUUAAAUUGUGCAAAAAGGGAGAUGCAUCAGGGAUGAUGUUCUUCUCUUACAUGGUAGAAGACAAGUUGUCAAGCGGGCUCUCGUAUGUUGAGUACCUCGUACAUAUCCACAGGCAGAUUCAAAGUAAAAUGCCUUGAAGUUGUAUACAAAUGUUUCGCCCUAAAAGUUUUGGUUACCCCACGGAACGAAACACGAGCGAAAAAUACCGAUUUUGUGCUCUGAUUUCCAUCCGAUGUAACGCCUUAAUUUUAUUUUAUUUUGUUUUUAAUUUUUUUUUUGUUUAUUUAAGGGUGGGGGUUGUAAUUUUAUGAGAAGAGGAUUUGGGAAUUUUGAUGGUUCCUAUAUAUAUAGGUAAAGGAAGGAAAUGAAACUCAAGAAAGGGUUUGCAUUUCUAGUUCUAUUGUUUGACAUCCCUAUUUAUCAUGUUUUGUUAUAUUUGUAUUGUAAUAAUAAUAAUAAUAAAUAAUAAUGUACAAUUGAGAUGUAUAAACGUGUUUGUGUUAGAUGCGACAUUGUGUUGUACUGUGUUACAUGGAUUUAGUGUUUCUUGUUGAGCCUU